GGGCAGUUGGCGCAGCGGAAGAGCGCCUCGUUGACAACGAGGGGUCAGUGGUUUGAAUCCACUACCGCCCACCA
rnacentral:tRNA from 1 species